CGCGGGGUGGAGCAGCUUGGUAGCUCGUCAGGCUCAUAACCUGAAGGUCGCUGGUUCAAAUCCAGCCCCCGCAACCA
rnacentral:tRNA from 1 species